rnacentral:rRNA from 1 species
CCCGCUCAGAAACUCAAAGGAAUUGACGGGGCCCGCACAAGCGGUGGAGCAUGUGGUUUAAUUCGAUGAUACGCGAGGAACCUUACCUGGGCUCAAAUGUAUGUUGACGUAUUCUGAAAGGGAUACUUCUUCGGACAAUAUACAAGGUGCUGCAUGGUUGUCGUCAGCUCGUGCCGUGAGGUGUCGGGUUAAGUCCCGCAACGAGCGCAACCCUUGUGUUUAGUUGCAAACAGGUCAAGCUGUGCACUCUAGACAGACUGCCGUGGACAACACGGAGGAAGGUGGGGAUGACGUCAAAUCAUCAUGCCCCUUAUGAUCUGGGCUACACACGUGCUACAAUGGCCGGUACAACGGGCAGCGAAGGAGCGAUCCGGAGCGAAUCCUAAAAAGCCGGUCCCAGUUCGGAUUGCAGGCUGAAACUCGCCUACAUGAAGUUGGAGUUGCUAGUAAUCGUGAAUCAGAAUGUCACGGUGAAUACGUUCCCGGGCCUU